rnacentral:rRNA from 1 species
GCUGGAAAGCUUGGCGAUACAGGGUGAUAGCCCCGUAACCGACGCUUCAUCGAGCGUGAAAUCGAGUAGGGCGGGACACGUGAUAUCCUGUCUGAAUAUGGGGGGACCAUCCUCCAAGGCUAAAUACUCCUGACUGACCGAUAGUGAACCAGUACCGUGAGGGAAAGGCGAAAAGAACCCCUGUGAGGGGAGUGAAAUAGAACCUGAAACCGUGUACGUACAAGCAGUAGGAGCACCUUCGUGGUGUGACUGCGUACCUUUUGUAUAAUGGGUCAGCGACUUAUAUUCAGUGGCAAGGUUAACCGUAUAGGGGAGCCGUAGCGAAAGCGAGUCUUAACUGGGCGUUCAGUCUCUGGAUAUAGACCCGAAACCGGGUGAUCUAGCCAUGGGCAGGUUGAAGGUUGAGUAACAUCAACUGGAGGACCGAACCGACUAAUGUUGAAAAAUUAGCGGAUGACUUGUGGCUAGGGGUGAAAGGCCAAUCAAACUCGGAGAUAGCUGGUUCUCCCCGAAAGCUAUUUAGGUAGCGCCUCGGACGAAUACUACUGGGGGUAGAGCACUGUUAAGGCUAGGGGGUCAUCCCGACUUACCAACCCUUUGCAAACUCCGAAUACCAGUAAGUACUAUCCGGGAGACACACGGCGGGUGCUAACGUCCGUCGUGGAGAGGGAAACAACCCAGACCGCCAGCUAAGGUCCCAAAGUAUUGCUAAGUGGGAAACGAUGUGGGAAGGCUCAGACAGCUAGGAUGUUGGCUUAGAAGCAGCCAUCAUUUAAAGAAAGCGUAAUAGCUCACUAGUCGAGUCGGCCUGCGCGGAAGAUGUAACGGGGCUAAGCAAUACACCGAAGCUGCGGCAAUAUCUUUUAGAUAUUGGGUAGGGGAGCGUUCUGUAAGCCGUUGAAGGUGAAUCGUAAGGUUUGCUGGAGGUAUCAGAAGUGCGAAUGCUGACAUGAGUAACGACAAAGGGGGUGAAAAACCUCCUCGCCGGAAGACCAAGGGUUCCUGUCCAACGUUAAUCGGGGCAGGGUGAGUCGACCCCUAAGGUGAGGCCGAAAGGCGUAAUCGAUGGGAAACGGGUUAAUAUUCCCGUACUUCUGACUAUUGCGAUGGGGGGACGGAGAAGGCUAGGUGGGCCAGGCGACGGUUGUCCUGGUUCAAGUGCGUAGGCUUGAGAGUUAGGUAAAUCCGGCUCUCUCUAAGGCUGAGACACGACGUCGAGCUGCUACGGCAGUGAAGUCAUUGAUGCCAUGCUUCCAGGAAAAGCCUCUAAGCUUCAGAUAGUUAGGAAUCGUACCCCAAACCGACACAGGUGGUCGGGUAGAGAAUACCAAGGCGCUUGAGAGAACUCGGGUGAAGGAACUAGGCAAAAUGGUACCGUAACUUCGGGAGAAGGUACGCUCUUGAUGGUGAAGUCCCUCGCGGAUGGAGCUGACGAGAGUCGCAGAUACCAGGUGGCUGCAACUGUUUAUUAAAAACACAGCACUGUGCAAAAUCGCAAGAUGACGUAUACGGUGUGACGCCUGCCCGGUGCCGGAAGGUUAAUUGAUGGGGUUAGCGCAAGCGAAGCUCUUGAUCGAAGCCCCGGUAAACGGCGGCCGUAACUAUAACGGUCCUAAGGUAGCGAAAUUCCUUGUCGGGUAAGUUCCGACCUGCACGAAUGGCGUAAUGAUGGCCACGCUGUCUCCACCCGAGACUCAGUGAAAUUGAAAUCGCUGUGAAGAUGCAGUGUACCCGCGGCUAGACGGAAAGACCCCGUGAACCUUUACUACAGCUUGGCACUGAACAUUGAACCUACAUGUGUAGGAUAGGUGGGAGGCUAUGAAGACGU